GACGAACGCUGGCGGCGUGCCUAAUACAUGCAAGUAGAACGCACAGUUUAUACCGUAGCUUGCUCCACCAUAGACUGUGAGUUGCGAACGGGUGAGUAACGCGUAGGUAACCUGCCUGGUAGCGGGGGAUAACUAUUGGAAACGAUAGCUAAUACCGCAUAAUAUUAAUUAUUGCAUGAUAAUUAAUUGAAAGGUGCAAUUGCACCACUACCAGAUGGACCUGCGUUGUAUUAGCUAGUAGGUGAGGUAACGGCUCACCUAGGCGACGAUACAUAGCCGACCUGAGAGGGUGAUCGGCCACACUGGGACUGAGACACGGCCCAGACUCCUACGGGAGGCAGCAGUAGGGAAUCUUCGGCAAUGGACGAAAGUCUGACCGAGCAACGCCGCGGGAGUGAAGAAGGUUUUCGGAUCGUAAAGCUCUGUUGUAAGAGAAGAACGGGUGUGAGAGUGGAAAGUUCACACUGUGACGGUAUCUUACCAGAAAGGGACGGCUAACUACGUG
rnacentral:rRNA from 1 species